GAUUUCUCCUUGUGUCUUUUGGGUUUUCUACAAAGCUUUUCCUGAUCUUGGGCUUCCUACAAGUGAAUAUCCCGCUCCCUUUGCUACUGUCUACUAUAGCAUGGCUAAACUUGGGGUUGAAGGCUUCUCAGCUCUACCGAAGGAAUGCCUCAAGCUAUGUUACGGAUUCUUUGCUGCAUCCAUUUUCAUCAACUUAAUAAGAGAUGCUUUGGGAAAGAAACGUUCGUGGUUUAUACCACUUCCAAUGGCAAUGGCGAUACCAUUUUAUUUGGGUUCCUAUUUUGCCAUUGAUAUGUGUGCUGGUAGCCUCAUACUUUUUGUGUGGCAGAAGAUAAACAGAGCCAAGGCAGAUGCCUUUGGUCCUGCAGUAGCUUCUGGUUUGAUUUGUGGAGAUGGCAUCUGGACUUUGCCUAGCUCUAUACUAGCUCUAGUCGGGGUGAAACCUCCAAUCUGCAUGAAAUUCCUGUCGAGGGCUACAAACACUAAGGUAGAUAAGUACUUGGGAUCCUAGAUAUGCUGGGGGUAAAAAUUAAUUUGUAUCCGAACAAGUAUUGCCUUCAUAAACCAAAAAGGAUUAUCCUGUAUGGAUAAAUAAGAGAUUAAAUUUAUGCACUCCAUUCCUAUGUUUCAAGUCUUCUACAAUAUACCCUAUAAAAAGGAUUUCAAGUUAUCCGAUGUAGAUUUUAAAAAUACACCACAACUUUUAGAGUAGCUUUAUACAAUUUUUAGAUACUAUUACUGCUUACCGAAAGAAGAUGAAGAUAGCUUGUAGACAGCCAUGGCUAUCAAACUGAAACAAAUUCACUUAUCUACCUUGUACAAAUAAAAUUGAAUCUUAAAUAAAAUAUGAAAAUGUUAAACAGUGUAGUAGCUGAAAGAGUUUUCGUAAAAAUCACAAUGGAGUUAUGCCAGUUCUUAUCCAUGUCUUGUCUUAAUUCUUGGGCAGGGAGGAUAUCUGCCAGCUACAAAACUGCAUUCAUUUUCCGAUAGCUCGGUGGGGCUAUCCUAACUUUGGUCACAAUUUUAUUCACCACUAUAAAUAGACUAGUCGGUCACGUCUUUCCAUCUGCUCACUGAUUCAGAAUUAGAGAUAUGGCUAUGCUCAAUGCUACGCUUCAUUGCAUCCAAGAAGGGAUUUGCCUAAAACCAACUUUAACACCAUAAUUUAAAUCUUAAGAAACCAGCCAUAUUUUCCAACAUAUUUACCUCAUAUAUUGCCAUAAUUAAUUCAACAGAUACUUCCACAGAUUCUCAUAAAUAGUUGUGGAAUGUACAGUUAGGGAAAAAAUCAACGGAAAUAAUGAAUUUUCUUGUAAAGUAGGACCCAAUAUUUUAAAAUUUUGUUAGGGUCAAGUCUCGAGUGUAACAUUUUUCAAUGCUCAAAAAUUUCCAGGAUCCUGGGACCACCCUAGUAGAUUGCAAUCUUUUAUCUUCUUUUCUUUUUCUUUUGAGUGGGUGUGGUCAGCGAGAAUUAAUUAUUGAGAACAGACAAAUUGGCAAAACAGCUCUAACGGAGUGAAGUAUCAAUUCUUGCACCCUUCAGUAGCGAAAAAACAAUUGGGACAAGAUGUAUUAGUAAGUAGAUUGUAACUUAGAAAAAGAAAGACAUGAAUUAAAUAGUAAAUCAAUAACUAUUUGAAACAGUUCCAACCAAUUCCCCUCUACACAUCCCACCCAAGCCGCAACCCUAAUUCAAACAGAUGUCACCGGAAUAACCACCCAAAACCCCCAACUCGUGAACUCAAAAAUUGCCGACAACUAAUCCUCCGAUCCCACCCGCCAUCAUGGACUGUCACCGUUCGACUCCCACAAUCCAGGCGUCCAAUCUGACGAUGGUAUUUCAACAAAAAGUAGAGAAACAAUCGAUGCAGCUUUUGGGAUUUCAAGUCCCGAUCUUUGGGUGGGGUGGGAUUCGAUUUCUGGCCUUUAUAGAGAUGAAUUUGAUUUUUAGUUUCAUAUUGAACGUGGUGGGCAUGGGUGGCAGGGGCUAGUGAUUUUUCUUGGUUUGAUUUUCAAGAUUGGGGGUUAGUUUUCUUUGUUUGAUUUUCGAAUGUACAAUGGGUUGGAAGGUGGUGAUGGAGAGUGCCGGCACUGGUAGUGCGUGGGUGUGGGUCGAAGAUGGCAGCCUGAUUACGAGUUCUUUCUGUCUAGGAGAACCUAGUAAUUUCGUUUAUGUACUUAUUUCUAAUUUCUCGUGUGGUACUGACUAGUGCUAAUGCUUAUUCAGCGUUGUAUAGCAAUUGGUAAACCGAGGUAGUAGCUCAACAGCAUACUUUCAUUUUUGCAGUUUAGCUAUGUAGAUUAUUUCAAAGUUAGCUUUUUUUCCCCCCUUUAUCAUAUUUUGAUUUGGAAGGUGAAGACUAUAAAACCGAUAAGAAUUAUCUGUGGCUAUGUGGCUAUCACGACCAGUAGCGUUUGUUAGUUUGGACACAUUUUGGCAUGUUUAAUACUAGUUCAGAGAAAACAAAAUUAAAAUAGUGUUCACUAUACUUUUCAAUCAACAAGUCGUAUCUAAUACUGUGUGGUAAAUAUGCACUUAUUGUGCAAGUUUUGAAGGAUACGAGGUGAGGAGGAAAUUGUGUAAACAUGUUUGCCAUUGCUUCUUUUAUCAUUAGGUAUUUUCUCUAGAUUUUCUUGAUGUUGACAUAAUCAAGUUUCUUCUAUGUUUUUACCUUUAUAGUUAAGCCAAACAAGUUUUACAAAUAUUUUCUUAGAUAGUCUUAGAAUUAAUGGUUUGUUUGAUUACAUUUAUUUUCCAUGGAAAAUAUCAGUUUUCCACCCAAAUUCCUACUUUGAGUGUUUGAUUGCUAUUUUUUUCCAUGGAAAACAUUUUCCAACUUUUGAAAAUAUGCCUAAUUUUCCUUGUUUUUAAGGAAAACAUUUUCUUUGAAUAGAGGUGAUUUUUAUUUUCCAUAAAAGAUGAAAAACAUUUUCUUUUCUAGGUGAUAUUUUCCAUGUUAAUCAAACAUGCUCUUAGUUGAAAAAAUAAUUUUUCUUGUAAAGUAGGACCCAAUAGGUCGAAGACUUGGUAAGGGUCAAGUCUUCGAAUUGUUGCCCAUCACAAUAUUUUUGUUAUAUUUUUCAAUGAAUCCAUAUUCUUCCACGAUCCUGGGGCCGCCUAUUAUUAUGUGGGUGAUUNNNNNNNNNNNNNNNNNNNNNNNNNNNNNNNNNNNNNNNNNNNNNNNNNNNNNNNNNNNNNNNNNNNNNNNNNNNNNNNNNNNNNNNNNNNNNNNNNNNNNNNNNNNNNNNNNNNNNNNNNNNNNNNNNNNNNNNNNNNNNNNNNNNNNNNNNNNNNNNNNNNNNNNNNNNNNNNNNNNNNNNNNNNNNNNNNNNNNNNNNNNNNNNNNNNNNNNNNNNNNNNNNNNNNNNNNNNNNNNNNNNNNNNNNNNNNNNNNNNGAUGGCAAAAUGAAUGUUGUAAUUAAGAUGGUACCUAUCGUAUAGUUUGGAGGAUUGUAUACUAUUAAGAGUGAAAAAUACUAAUUUUCUGUCAAUAUGAAAAAUAUCACAGACCAAUCUUGUCUAUGAUUGUGACUAUUUAGGUGACAUUUUGUCUGUUUUGCUGCAAUAUUUGAAUUCAACUCAAUGUUUGAGUGGCAAAUUGAAAAGUAAAAAUAAAUCAGUGGGUUCCAAGUUAUUUUCAAUUUUCUAAAUGCAAAUUCAACUAUGGACAUAUAUCUAUCAUCUUUUCACAUUUCUUUUUAUAUGUUAUGAAGUUGAUUGCUCAACUAGUGUGAAGAUUGAUCAAGAUUCAUUCCAAGUGUGAACUAAUGCAAUUUAAGAUCUAUAAGAAAAGAUGUUGAUUUAGAGCAUGCUCUAUUAAUCUUAAAGAUCACUUUUAAGUUACUUUUAUGUGAUAACUUACUUUUUUCUUCUUAUUUUUAAAUAUAUAUUUAUUUUGAAAGUAACUAUUGUCAACAAGUUGAAUUUGGUUUUGAAUGCCUCUCAAUUUGAGAGUUGCGUUGAUUACAUAGGUGGAUUAUUACUCAUUACAAGGCUGAGAAUCAGCCAUUACCUACAUCUCGUUUGGGUAAAGAUGGAAUAUGUAAUAAUUACAAAUAUCACCUAUAAAUAAUAAUAUUCCCUAUCCUGCUAAUACUCCCCUCAAAUUGAUGUUGGUUUGUCAAGAAGCAUCAAUUUGUUCACAAGAAAUUGAUGACACUGUCGAGUCACUGCCUUUGUAAAAAUAUCAGCUAUCUGAAGGGUAGUGGAAAUAUGAAGAAGAGAAAUAACACGAAUACCCAAGGCCUCUUGAAUAAAAUGACAAUUCACUUCAAUAUGUGUUUCGCGCGGGUAGUCGCUAACAAUUAAAAAGGGAUCAGACGAUUGUGUAAGGAACAAACCUCUUAAAACAAAGUCCCAAAAAAGGGUGUUUUAUUAGCGAUGUUUUACAAUUGAAACUAAAUAGAAUGCCUCCAAGGGGCGCAAGCACACGAGUACUAAAAGAAAUAUUUAAGUUUAAACUAAGAAAUUGAAAUGACAUAUUCUCUAUUUGAGAGUGUUUAAUUCGGGGUCUUUUGCUCUAUGUCUUCUCUUCCUUUCAUAUUCCCUUGAUGAUUUUUUCGUGAUCAAUCGCUUAAAAAUUGCUCGAUUACUUUAUAACUACCCUCUUUAUUUAUGGUGUCUAACUUGUCGUGGAACUGCCGUCUCUAACUGUUGCUACUACUCUUUGUCGUUCAAUCGUUUUUAACUGAACUUCUUAAAUCGUGGAACGUGAUAAGAUUACCCAAUAACUGCUUCAAUAACUGCACUUCUGGAUAACCAUAACAUCUUAUGUUUGCUAAGAUCCUGGGCGAUUCGAAGGUUUGGGCGAGAACAUGGUCAUAGCUUUGGACGACUAUAAGGCACUUCAUUCGCUCAGAUCUUGGGCGUCUUGCAAGCUUGGACGAUAAUGUUACCGCGUUCGUGGACUUCCAUUGCAUUCAUUAAUAACUCUAUCUGGGCCUUUAUCCUGAAUUGCCCAAUUUGGCUUCAUUUUUUGGACUAUUUGAUUUGGGAAUUCCCCAAUUGGACUUCAUUCCUUGGACUUUUCGAUUUGGGCUGCACUUUUAGUGUGUCAACAAUAUGUUUUGUACAUUUAUGGUAAAUAGGGUUAGCAGCAAUCUGAAUUGCACUUGUGUUAUCAGCAUGGAGAGGAGUAGGAGUGGAUUGAGGAAAAUCAAGUUCAGCCAGGUUAGCAGCAUGUAGAGUGAUGAUGAAUAUAUUUUCCACUGCCUUUGACACUAUGCAAGAUUUUAAGACAAGUUACUUGACCUUUGCUUUAACCCGUUUAAUGUUUGUGAGCCAUGUGAUUAGCACUGCAAUGAGACUUCUCCUUGUGUCUUUUGGAUUUUCUACAAAACGUUUCCUGAUCUUAGGCAUCCUACAAGUGAAUAUCCCGCUCCCUUCGCUACUUUCUACUAUAACAUGGCUAAACUCGGGGUUGAAGGCUUCUUAGCGCUACUGAAGGAAUACCCUAAGCUAUGGUACGGAUUUUUUGCUGCAUCCAUUUUCAUCAACUUAAUAAGAGAUGCUCUGGGAAAGAAAUGUCUGUGGUUUAUUCCACUUCCAAUGACAAUGGCGAUACCAUUUUAUUUGGGUUCCUACUUUUCCAUUGAUAUGUGUGUUGGUAACCUCAUACUCCGUGUGUGGCACAAGAUAAACAUAGACAUGACAGAUGCCUUUGGGCCUGCAGUAGCUUCAAUUUUGAUUUGUGGAGAUGGCAUCUGGGCUCUGCCUAAAUUUAUACUAGAUCUAGUCGUGAUGAAACCUCCAAUCUGUCUGAAGUUCCUGUCGAGGGCUACAAACACUAAGGUAGAUAAGUACUUGGGAUCCUUAAUAUGCUGGGGUUAAAAAUUAAUUUGUAUCAUAACAAGUAUCGCCUUCAUAAUUCAAAAAGGAUUAUCCAGUAUAGAUACAUAAAAGAACAAAUUUAUGUUUAUGUAAUAUGGACG
rnacentral:lncRNA from 1 species